UAAGACGGAGGGGGCUAGCGUUGUUCGGAAUGACUGGGCGUAAAGGGCGCGUAGGCGGUUUUUUAAGUGAGGCGUGAAAGCCCUGGGCUUAACCCAGGAGGUGCGUUUCAUACUGGAAGACUUGAGUGCGAGAGAGGAAAGUGGAAUUCCUAGUGUAGAGGUGAAAUUCGUAGAUAUUAGGAAGAACACCUGUGGCGAAGGCGGCUUUCUGGCUCGCAACUGACGCUGAGGCGCGAAAGCGUGGGGAGCAAACAGG
rnacentral:rRNA from 1 species